rnacentral:rRNA from 1 species
GACGAACGCUGGCGGCGUGCUUAACACAUGCAAGUCGAACGGAAAGGCCCUGCGUUUGUUGGUUGCUCGAGUGGCGAACGCGGGAGUAACACGUGAGGAACCUGCCCCUGACUUUGGGAUAACUUCACGAAACUGGGGCUAAUAUCGGAUAGGAGCUCCUGCUGCAUGUUGGGCGUUGGAAAGUUUCGGCUGUUGGGGAUGGACUCGCGGCUUAUCAGCUGGUUUGUCGGGUAGUGGCUUACCAAGGGUUUGACGGGUAGCCGGCCUGAGAGGGUGACCAGCCACCUUGGGACUGAGAUACGGACCAGAAUGCUACGGGAGGCAGCAGUGGGGAAUAUUGCAGAAUGGGCGGAAGCCUGAUGCAACAACGCCGCGUGCGGGAUGACGGCCUUCGGGUUGUAAACCGCUUUCGCCUGUGCCGAAGCGUGAGUGACGGUAAUGGGUAAAGAAGCACCGGCUAACUACGUG